UCUCUCUCUCUCUCUCUCUUAAUUUUCUUCCUUUCAAUAGGUCAAUAGCCUGGUGAAGUAGUCACCGAGAGGCAUGAAUUAUAGAAAUAGAUGCUUUAACAAUAUUAGAGGACAGCAAGAUAAUGAAAGGUUUGAUGGAAAUCAAUGAAUCUAAGAUAUGUUAACAGGAAUCAGCAUUUAGCUACACAAGCAGAUGUCCAUCUAGAAAGGGAAUUGAGGAGGAUACCAAGUUGGAUUAAUUAGAUUGGAAAACAUGAUUACAACAUGAAAAAGAUUUGAUGCAACAAACUCUUGCAAAUGAUAUCACAAAACAGAAGGCAAGAACUUUAAAACCGAAUAACUUAC
rnacentral:misc_RNA from 1 species